AAUAACACUUGAAAUGUAUAUAAGAAAUACUCAAGUUAAUAAAAAAAAAAAACAAAAAAACAAAAAACUACCACUUUUGUGUUGAUGGGGAUUGAACCCAGGGCGUCACACAGGCAGUCUACCAUUGAGCUCCAGCCUUAACACAAAUUAAAUUCUUUAUCCCCUGGACAUUUGAACGAGAAACCACUGGAUUGUCUUUCCUUUUUUUUUUUUUUUUUUAUAAUGCUCCAAAGAAACUUCCCAGAUUGACCUCAAAUAACUGAUUCAUAUCGAAUCCUCUUUUUUUUUUUUUGCCUUUGCUGUUGCCUUCUUGAAUGGGUUUCUUUGAUUCGUGGUGACAAGAUUAAACUGAUAAAUCAUGGACCCAAUCUGGUGCCAUCCGUUUUCAACUUUAUUCUUUUUUUGCCGCCAAGGGUCUGUGAUGGAAAAAGUUCCUCAGAAGGCCACAGCUGGCUUGCUCCAGCUCAGAAGCGAGUUAAUAAACAUCUGUUGAAGAGCCUCCCUUACCCUCUUCUCCCCAAGCUGCCUGGCUGAGGACCUGGUUCUCUUUAUCUCUGAAAUCUUUUCCUGGAUCUCUUCUCCCCCUUGGCUCUACAGACCUUUCAUCGCCUCCCUCCACAUGGAGUGAUUCAUAGCAUUUGUGUUUCUCUUGAGUCAGCCUUGGGAAAGUCUAGAACAGGCCCUGCUGUUUCACCAGUGUUGGAGACCGGCUUCUGGGCCACAGACUCUCACUUUACCUUCCAGGGCAACAUGGCUUCUUACGGCAAAGAAAUUGUUCAUGGCCCUUGGUGCCAACCAAGGAGAUGACUGGAUAGGUCAGUCAGAUCAGUACUGCACGAAAGAAACAAAGUCUGUCCUAUGUGGAAUAUAUUAAAGGCAGAACCAGGUAAUCCUGUACUGGUUUUUGUUCUGUUUCUCAGUUGUCCCAGUCAGGAACCCUAUCCUGAUGAUGGCGGGACAAAAGGAUCUUCUCUACCAUGAUAUUUCCUCCAAUGAAGGAAGAGAAUCCUUCUAUUGUGUCUUUUACCCGGUGUGUUUGCUGCUCCUUGGAGCAGGGGGAAGAAGUAACUUUCACUGAGCCACAUUUAAUAGUGGGUAGAGUGACAGUGUUUAACGCUAUGCACAGUUCACACAUGGUACUGUUUCUGAGCUCUUUGGCUCUGACAUCUCUCUCGGGAAAUGCAGGCUCAUAGUCUUGUGUCUUCGCCUCACUGUCAACUCUGUAUGGUCAACCCCUUUGAGUCAUAUCUCCUGACCUAGAGGCCAUGGAUGGGGGAUGGUCUUCUUUAUGUCUUCCAGUUGGGUCAGAAUGCACGGCCUGUCGCGCCCAACCUCGACCAGCAAGGAAGACACGACCAGCGAAGAUCUUCUUCAAGCAGUUUUUGGUUUUUGUUUUUUUGUUUUUUUGGUUUUUUUUUUUUUUUGGUUCUUUUUUUUUUUUUUUGGAGCUGGGGACCGAACCAAGGGCCUUGCGCUUCCUAGGUAAGUGCUCUACCACUGAGCUAAAUCCCCAGCCCCAAACAGUUUUACUCAGGAACCUUGAUACAAUCUUCUGACCCCAGGAACUCCCGUACCACACUUAAAUAGCUAGCGCUGGCCAAUCCUAGCAAGCCACGUGGGUCAUGCAGAUAGGCUGUCACUAUGCGGAACCUAGCAGGCCAGGCAGGCAUAGCCAAAUAAGGACUUGUUUACUAUAAGGAGCGCUCAUGGUUGGGAGGGUGGAAGGCAGAAACCAGCGCCAUCUUUGAGGCGAGGCACGUCGCAGCUCCCUACACGCGGAUCUCCGUUUCCUUGUAAUUUCACUGCAGAGAGCUAGGCAGAUGAAGAUCAAAGACUAGGCUUAAGAUGAAGGUCUGAGUAGGUGAAGCAGGAAUUUUAUAGAUAUGCCAAUUGUCUCUUCCAGAACUCUAGGGAGUCUUGUGCACACAUCUAUUUUCACUUCUGGUAUUCAUGCCUGUGAAAUUUAGAUGUGUCCGAUCCAACCACCCGAAGAAGUGGGGACUCAGCAAGGUUCAGCUGCCUUGCUGUAUCACAGACAUGCGGUUAAGGCACUGUCUUAAUCACAUCUUUCCCUGAGUUAUUUUAACUGGCAUUAUAAAUCAAUGACAUCUUUUUUGCUUAAUGCUGGAGAGAAGAUGGCAUAACCAGGGCAUUAAAAUCAUGUCUACAUCUCUGUGCUUAGGAAGCACCUUGUGAUACUUAAUCUUGACUGACAAUUUGCUGGGAUUUAGAAUCGCAAUAGGAACAAGUCAGUAAGGGAGUGAGGGAUUAUUUAGAUUAUGUUAUUGAGGUGGGAAGAUUCACUCACUUGCAGGGUACCAGUCUAUGGACUAGGAUCCUACACUGAAGAAGAAUUCCAGCUGAGGGUAAGCCUUGUCAUUCAUGAAAAUGAGUGCAGUGCUGCCAACCGCCCACUUUAGACUCCUGCUGCCUUGACUUCCCCAUCACGAUGGUCUAGAUCCAGGGACUUUGAGCCAAAACCAACCUUUCCUUUAUUCAUUUGCUUCUGUUGGGUGUUUUGACCCAGCAACAAAACAAGUGUCUGACACAUGUUCUUUUGCUGUUACUUGGAAUUACCCAUUCCUAAGUCUUAGAUGAUAGUCCCAGGAAUGAAUUCAUUCCCAUCCUGAAGGGAACUAAUUGAGCCAUCAUCUACAUAUCCCUUCAUCUUGAUGAUCCAAUACCUUUUCACCAGCCCUGUUUAUCACCCUUGGCACAAAGGCUACAAAUGGAAUGGUGAUUCUAGUCAAGCUGAGGAACGUUCUGGAUAUAUUUUGUUUCAUACCACACUAUAACAAAGACCUCACUUCACAUCUUUGUGACCAAAUCUCUGUCACUUUACAAGAUCGGAAUGUAUUGGGCUAGGGAUACUCAAAGUCCUUGUGUCAUUUGGGAUGUGGCCAGGGCAGUUAUGGGGUCUGAAUGUUUUCAUUUUACUUCUGCCUUAAUGCCCUGCCUAUUUCUCCCAUUUCAAAAUGUCGUGGAGUAGGCUGGUGUCAUUUGUUUUCAUAAAUUAAUGUCGAUUGCAAUUUAUGGCCAGAUGGGCCACGAAAAACAGGAGCCUUGUGAGCCUCUUGGAAAGUCCAAAGAAAAGCAGUGGGCAUUGCUCUGGUGAACUUAUGCACUUUAGGACCUCAUUCUGGGCUGAGUAAAUACUUAUGAAAAAUCUUGUUCUUAAACAGUUGAGCACAAAGGAUCCCUUCUUAGGAUUAUUUUUGCCACUGUUUCUAAUUUCUGUAGCAACUAGAAAAAAAUGUAAAUACAGUGAAUUCUUCAUGCUGGGAAACUGUGUGUGUUAGGGACUAACUUUAUUCUGCUUAUAAUCCUUCAGAGAACCUCCAUAGCCAGCAUAUAUCGUGGGGUGCACAUUGGAUCAUAACACAUAAAGGCCCUGACCCUGUAUGUACACCUUUAAUCAUGUCUUCAUGGGUCAGUGAAGAGAAAUGGAUCAGUAAGAGGGGAAAAGAAAAAGUCAAAAAACACUGGAGAAUUUGAUGAUUCGCUGCUUCUAUGAAAUAAUGGCUCAUGGGAAGCUGGGCAAAGGUCACCUUGGCAACAGCCAAAGAGGAGGCUGCUUGGCAGCUGCGUGGAUUCGAGAGCACAUGCAGUAAGAUUGCUUCUUCCCACAAGGCUACAUGCCUCAGGGGAUGUGAAGAGCAGGACUCAAGGAGACUGAGACAGGCAAUCCUAGGAGGCAGGCAGGCGCCACUUGGGUUCUGCAUACGCCUUCACUUCUAAUAACCAUCUUGGUAACCUAUUUCCUUACUUUCUGUACUAGGUGUAUGGCGGAUCUCCCAAACAAAUGUACCUAGCAACCCAGAACCCCCACCUGUAUCGGGCUAUGUGUAUAUCCCUUUCUGAACAAAACUGUAAAGGUUAUUUUUCUUUUGCCUUUAAUAACAAGCAAACAGAUAAUUUCUUUUCUAUUCAAAUAUACUCUCAAUAUAUGUGGAUAUGAAGAAUAGAAAGUCUGCUAUGUCCUGAAUUUCAUUUUUAUGCAUAGGAGGGCAAAACUGUGUUCUCUACUAAGCUUUUUGGGAGAAUCUCCUGUUUAACAUCUGUGCCUAUGCAUAAUUUAGUGCCUAUGAUUAACAUCAGAUGCAUUAUGGAAAGGGACAUAGGCCACAGAAAAAUGAUUGUACGAUCUAAUAUAUCAAUCAAAAUAAAACAUAACUCCACUCUUACUAUGUCCACUAAUAACCAAAAUCUUCCUUCCCUUGAAUGGCUUUAAGGAAACCCCAACAAAAUCUGAGCCCCUUGAGUACCCCCAGUCAUGUGGUCUGCUGUGGACCUUGACAAUGUAUCCCUUUCUGACCUGUCCUGUUACUUUAUUCUGAAUAAGGCCACCUUGCUCUGUUUUCCCUUCUUUUCUCCCUUUUACCCUUUUCUUUAUUUUUCUUUUCCCACACUGCAGUAACUAACUCUGUUGGCUCAAGAGCUCAUAGUCUAAGCGUCAAACAAGCCUGGGCUUUGAUCUGUGAGCUCAUCUCACAAAUCAGGGAAGAAACAAACUGUGACCUAUAUACAAGGCUAUAGUCUAAAGGUUCAUGAUUAAUCACAUUGUAGGCUCUUGGGUUUCUACAACCUAGAAAUUGGCAGACAUGGGCCUUUUAGAUUCUUCUUUUAGAUGUUCCUUGGGGUUUCUGCAACCUCGUGAACCUUCAACUUCUGGUUUGAUGGUGCUGGUUAAUCUCUGAGAAUUAAGGAUUCAAGGAGACUGAGGAAGACUUUGUUCUUAAUGCCAUAUAUUUCUAUCACCACUGUUGACAUAGUCUGAAUGCAAGGUGGGUUUUUCAGCAUGGGUUUAAGGAGGGCAGCCACAUAAAACCCAACAGCACAGUGGUAUAUCUUUUCACCUUAAUUAUUUUAUAGGUACUUUCCACCACCAUAUCAUGCUCUUCCUUCCAGCUCUCCCUUACACUUUUCAUUCUCAUUUCUGGGCUUGAUUCCUGGAGAGAAAUGCCUACCAUCUUUACCCUACUCUACAGAGCCAUACUGGAGUCACCAUGUCCUCCCAGAAUCCACCCCUGGCAGCCACUGGGAUAAAGGGCAACCUUCUCUGCCAGCACAUAGCAAAACCUAGCAGAACUCAGUUUGCGAACAUUUCUAAUCACAUGGUGCACAGGAAACACAUUGAGAUUUCAGGUGACCUAAGUAAGAUUGUCCACUGGGUUAGAAACUACAGUGAUGGUGCAGUCAGGGCUGUACUUGAUGGUCUGAGGAAAACUGGACUUGAAUACACUGGCAUUUUUCAACCCUGGUUGAGUGAACUCUUUCCUUCUGGUGGUAGACUCUUUCAACCAGCACCGCAAUCUUAGAAUUGGCUAUCACAGAAUGACCUUUAUUGUCACAGUUUUGGGGAUCAGAAGAUAUACGUUCUCAUGACUCAGCAUUUCUCCUUUGAUUUUUUCUUCUAAAAUGUCUACAAGGGCAGGUUCAUUAGCCAGAGACUUUCCCAAAAUGCUGAUAGCCCGUGCCAUACCAACGUGUCUGAACCCCCUCUCUCCAUGGUGAUCUUAUUGUGUGGGCUGGCUGCUGCCUCUUCUGCAGCAGGUGUGAUGAGCUUUUCUUAAGGGUUGCCAACUUAGACAAGAAAAAGCUCUGCAGAGCAUGGAAGCAGAGGAACCACACAAAUUUAGCAGUCUUGUGAGCCCUUAUUUUCAAUUCUUUGGAUAAGAGGCCAAAACAAUGUGGAAGCUUCUGGACCACCCUGCUACCUCCCAUCCACUGAGAGCAAAUGUUCUUUGAGUUCUGUUGGGCUAUAGGUUUGUAAUUUGAGCUAGUUGCACCAAUUCCUAGUCAAGUUCUAUUUCAAGUCAAAUAAAAUAUCUAGACAGAACACUCUUCCGGCUCUCUUCCGUCACCAGCAUCCUGUUGAGCACAAUCUUUGACUUAAGAAGUUAUCUUAGGAUCUGAGUAUUAUUUUAUCUGCUCUCCAACAGUUAGCCUUUAAAUCUCUCUUAAUAGGCAGAAUGUUAUCCAAAGAUUUUUACCCACUUAAUACUCUUAAUAUAUCUUUUAGAACCUUAUAAUUAAAAACUUAUUUCCAUGUAUCAAACUCUGUGAUGAAGGCGAUGCAGGAACUAUACUUUCCCCAAGUCCCCAUAACUGUACUAAUUUAGACUUGCCUCCUAGAAGCACAGCUUGUCCAUCACUCAGCAGGACAGGUGAACAGCACAGGUGCGGCUGUAUCAUAGGUUGCUUGUAUCUCGUUGGGCAAAACAAUAAUUACAAUAAAGUGAAGUAUGUGAUGACAGAAGACUGGAGAGGGGGAUCUGUUCCAGAAUGGAGGAGAAUGAAAAAACUUCUAGAAAUGUUACCUACAAUGUGAAAAAAAAGGAAAAGACUUCUUCCAUCAAGCCUCUGAUGGACAUAGGGAAGAAUGACGAAGCAAGAGAAAUGCCGUUCCUUUACAAAAGAUAGGGUUUCCCCAGUAGCACAUUGGUAGAAAUAAGGCAAGAAAGAAAAGAGGUGCCAAAGACAAACAUGGAACAAUAGCAGACUAUUUCUAUCUCCAGAAGUAGAACGAGCCUUUGGAUUACUGUUUCUGCUGAAUAUUUUUAGCUAUCUUACAUCAAGGCAGCUAAGUUUUGGUUAAUUUAAAAUAAAAUGCUGAAUGGAUGAAUGGAUGUAUAUGUAUAUGUUCUCUCGGGACAAUCUGGCCAAUACCACGUGACUCUCUGUACCCUGGAGACUUCUUUCUGCUCCUGUAUAGCUAUCAGCACCAAAGACAACCUAAGAGGCAAGAACUCGGCCUCCUUGAAUUUUAUUGGAUAAUAACCAAUGGAGACAGUCACAAAAUUUGUAGGUAAAGCAGAAGAACAAGGAAGUUUGUUGAAUAUUCUUGUUCAGAAAGCAAUAGAAAGUCCUUAGUUGGUAGAAGAGACCAAAAGGAAUGGUAAGGACAAAGAGAUGCCAUGAAAGCGCAAGUGAGAAGUCAAGGCAGAAGUGGUGACAGAGAGAUCUGGAAUGAUUGCAAUGGAGUAAUGACUAAAUGACAAUUGUAUCAAUUUGUAUCAAAGUUGAGAGGCAGCAGCAGCAGCAGUCUCAGAAUGCAAUGUGGACUUGGGAUUUACGCUCUGUGCAAGAGAGAGAAAAAGGAGCCUGGAUGAAUAGUCAAUAGUUAGACACAUCUGUAAACAGUUCUAGAGAAGAAUUAAGGAGUACAAAACGAAUACAGUGGUACAUACCUUUAAUCUCAGCACUGAGGAGACAGAAGCUGGUGGAUCCUUAUGAACCUGAGGGUAGGCUAGCCUACAGAGUAAGUUCAGGUCAACUAGGGCUAUCCAGUGAGACCCUUUUUUAUUGAAAAGAAAAAUAAAAAUCAAGAAGCAUAACGAUACAAAAAAUACUAUUUUCCAAUUGAAAAUAGACUAGGAAAUAAAUGUUUAUAAAGAACACAAACAAAUCAAAAAAUGAAUAUAAAUUAAGCCCAUUGGGAGUGGUUGCCUAUAGGGCGGAGGAAUAGAGGAGAAUGAGGGAAUUGGGGUAAAAAGAGAUGAAUAAGCAAAUUAAAAAGGUUAAUAGAUCAUGGUUGGAGGAAUAUAAUGUAUUCUUAUCUCCUAUUUACAAAGUGAUGGAAAGAAAAGCAGGUGAAAAUUAGCAGCUGGCAUAAGAAUUUCUGCUCUGCAGUGAAGUACAUGAAACCCUGGGCUAACUAUGCAUUGGAAGCAAUGGUCUAAGAUAAAAAGCAUGCUUUUCCUGAUCUGGGGCACUCUACCACAGAGAGUUUCUGGACAUCUUGAAAACCAUAUCUUUAUAAUACCCAUCCUCCGCCACCUGAUGUCAUUUGAGCACCUCAAUGUACCCAAGUCCCAUCAGGUAAAUGACAGAUUAAGAUACUUUUAUCAGACCACUGAUAAGUGCUAGUUGUCGCUCAAGGGUUUUACCUAUAAAAUAGCUUUUGGUCCUAACCACAAGUUUGUGCAUAGGUACAAUCGUCUUUGUCCUGCAAGUGAGAGCAACUGAAGUCACAUCCCCCAGGUCAUACAGCUAGUAGUAAGUGGCUGACUGCACUUCAGACCCAGACAGUGUCAACCUGAGCCUGUACUUAGAACCACAGAGCUGACAAAAGAGUCUCUGGAGCAAAGCGGCUAGGCUCUCCCAGGGUUAGACCUUGCUAAUUUCUCAGACUCUUCACAUGAUUUCACUCACCAACCCUGGCAUUUCAGUUAAUAUAGCACCAGAUUGGGAAAACAAAACAAAACAAAACAAAAUAGAAAUGUUGUGUCUCCCCUCCCUCUUCCCACUCCACUAAUGGCACUAGAUUUGGAACCAGCCAUUCCUUCUCUCUGGGAUAGCGUGACCUUGAAUUCAUCAUUAAGCCUCUGUAGUCUGCUCCUUCAUCUGAAAUACUGAGGAUGUUGACAAUGAGCUCUUAGAGAUAUGGCUCUAGGAAUCUAGUGAGAUGACAGAAAAUAAACAACUGUGAAUAUGUCACAGCCUGUGAUUGGGACAAAAGUUGUUCUUUUCCUUUUCUUUUCUUUUCUUUUCCUUUCCUUUCCUUUCCUUUCCUUUCCUUUCCUUUCCUUUCCUUUCCUUUCUUUUCUUUUCUUUUCUUUUCUUUUCUUUUCUUUUCUUUUCUUUUCUUUUCUUUUCUACAUCAUGCCUUUUGUGAUCCAGCCCAAGAGAAACAGGACACUCACUGUCUUGGGCAUCUUGUGCGAGCCUUCACCUGAGAGGAACGCAGUGCCACUGCUGUGUAAGACUGGCAUUUUACAAGCCCAAAGCAAUAGGCAAGUGACUGUGGACUGAAGCCUCUGGACCCACAAGCACAUAGGAACCAUUCCUACCAUAGGCUGCGGGUGUCCGGCAUUUUGUUACAGCAGUGAAAGGCUCACUGAUUCAAUGUUCUUAGCAACUGGAGCCUUCAGCCCUGAAGUUUCCCAAUCAUUUCCAUGGGCUUAACCCAUUUUUGUUGGUGAAAAUUAUGUCGAUCUAAAAUAUUGUUUUUAUUUUGCCAGGUAACCCACAAGUUUGCCUUUAACGGCAGAAUUUGAAUCCUUCUUCCUUAGAAGUGCUUCCACACUAGGAUCGCCUUUGUCUAAUGAAGUAUCCCAUCGUAACUUCGGCUAUACAGGGGCAUGUUUGCCUUUUCCUGUGAGUUCUGAACUCCUUGAGGGUGGCUCCAUGCACAUUUUUGCCUCUGUAUCAUCCUAAGCAUUGUUCCACCAUGAUAGAGGCAUAAAAAGUUGUCUGAUGACCUUACAUACAUGCGUCUGUGCCCAGCCUCGUAUUACAAGGGCACUGGGACACCUCAGGCUGCCCACAGGUCAUUUGUUGUUACCUAGAUGGCAUGAAGCAUGGAAUUUGACUAGUUGGGCAUUUUAUUGUGUAAGGAAAGAGGCACUGGUGUCUGGGAUAAAAUUUGAAGUUCUUUAUUCAGUUUCCCCCUAGAGCCAACAGGAACCAGGCAGUGUUUCUCAUACUUAAAGUAUUUAUUUUAUUUUUUAUUUGUAUUGAAUUUUAUUUAUUUAUUUAUUUAUUUAUUUAUUUAUUUAUUUAUUUAUUUUUACUUAUUCACUGUUUUAGUAAGGGUUUUAUUGCUGUGAAUAGACACCAUGAUCAAUGCAAGUUUUGUAAAGGACAGCAUUUAAUUGGGGCUGGCUCACAGGUUCAGAGGCUCAACCCAUUAUCAUCAAGGCGGGGGCAUGGCAGCAUCCAGGAAGACAUGGUGCAGGAGGAACUGAGUUCUACAUCUUCACCCAAAGGAAGCCAGGAACAGACUCAGCAUCCUAGGAGGAGCUUAGGAGGAGAGUCUCUAAGCCCGCCCCACAGAGACACACUUCCUUCAACAAGGCCACACCUUCUAAUAGUGCCAUGCCCUGGGCCAAGCAUAUGCAAACCAUCACAUUCACUUUAUAUCCAGCUCACUGCCACCAUCCCGGUCAUCUUCCCCACAGUCCUCCCCCCAUGCCCCAUCCUAUUCUCUUCUGAGUGGGUAUCCCCUUGAUAUUCCCCUCUACCCUGUGACUUCAAGCCUCUCUGAGGCUAGGUGCUUCCUCUCCCACUGAGGCCAAACAGGGCAGCCUAGCUAGUAGAACACAGCCCAUGUGCAGGCAACAAGGUUUGAGAGAGCCUCUGUUCUAGUUGCUUAGGAUCCUCAUGAAAGCCAAACCGCACAUGUGCUACAUAAGUGUGGGGAAGACCUAGAUCCAGUCCAUGUAUGUUCCACACUCAUCAGAGGUGGCUGUCUCUUUGAGUUUUUGAUCUUAGCCAGUCUGAUGGGUGUAAGUUGGAAUCUCAGAGUUGUUUUGGUUUGCAUUUCCCUGAUAACUAAGGACUUUGAACAGUUUUUUAAAUGCUUUUCAGACAUUUGAGAUUCCUCUGUUAAGAAUUCUCUGUUUAGCUCUGUACCCCAGUUUUUAAUUGGAUUACUUGGGUUGCUGGCGUGUAACUUCUUGAUUUCUUUGUUACAGUUUGGACAUUAGCCCUCGGGGUUGAUGAAAAUCCUUUCCUAAUCUGUGGGCUGCAGAUCUGUCCUAUUUGCAGUGUCCUUUGUCUUACAAAAGUUUUUCAGUUUCAUGAGGUCUCAUUUAUCGAUGGUUGAUAUCAGAGCCUGAACCAUUGGUAUUCUGAAAUUUGUCUCCUGUACUAAUGGGCUCGAGGGUAUUUCCCACUUUCUUUUCUAUGAGCUUUAGUGUAUCCAGUUUUAUGUUGAGGAUUUGAGUUUCAUGCAGGGUGAUAAGUACGGAUCUAUUUUCAUUCUUCCACAUGUAGACAUCCAGUUAGUCUACCACCAUUUGUUGAGGAUGCUUUCAAUUUUUCACUGUAUGAAUUUGUUUUCUUUAUCAAAAAUCAAGUGUCCAUAGGUGAAUGAGUUUAUUUCUGGAUCUUUGAUUUGAUUCCAUCGCUCAUGGUGUCUAUUUCUGUACCAAUACCAUGCAGGGUUUUUUUUUUAUUACUAUUAGGCAUUAUUUUUAAUGUCCUGUAAAACAUGGGUCUUUCAUCUCUGCUAUUCACUGAGUUUGAAUUCUAUUUCUAACAUGCCUGCUUGCAUCUGAGGCAAACAGUGAGAAUAUGUUAACAAAAAGGAAUGCUGCCUUAGAGACAGGAGCCAAUGGAGAAGCUGAGCAGAGAUGAACAUCCCAAAGUUCUAAAAAAUAUCAACUCAGUUCUAGUGGUUAUUGUGUGGUGGGCCAUUCUCCGUAGGUCUCUGUUUCCUCACCUGCAGUAGUGACCUAGAAUAUCACAUGAGACAAUGGAUGAAAAGAGCUCAUGUGUGCAGAGUCCAUAGGAAUACUUAACAAGCAACCUGUAAUGUUAAUGUGAUGUUAACCACUGCAAUGCAGUUUUCUUAUCUGCAAAAUAAAGGUAAUAACUUCAGUGAUUACAUAAGAUUUCCACCAGGAUCAAGUUAUGUGGCACCCAGAAAGUGCUUGGCAUAGCACUUGACUAUAAGUCCUGGUAGUUGUUAGGCAUGGUGCUUAUUUUGUGUGACAGAAAGCAGAAGGGAACAUAGAAGUGUUCAGGUACAUCAUGUGCUAAUGUGUGAAAUUUACAUUGAUGUGUGUAGGGCACAAUGGAUUUGGUAGAUGAAUAAGGAUAUGGAAAAAAGACUAGAGAGGAUUGAACCAGUCUUAGCUGCUCCGUCUCACAGCGAGCACAUGCGGGUUCCCCCACCAUUCUCCAAGUAUUUCUGGGUAUUUGGAAUCACUCAUGAUAAAAUGUGGUGAGGGAAAACACAAAAUAAAGCAGAGAUCUGAACAUCAGAAUGGUCUAAUAACCAGGAUUCAAACACGAAAGUGAUAUGUGGGGGACUGACGGGCCACAGUGAACCUUCUUGAUGCCUUUCCUUGCCACAGAAGACAGCACCAAGCGCCAAGGCUUUGAAACACGAAGUGUACACCUCUGAGGUGUAGUGGUAUAAAAGUGUUUGAGAGGAAAGAGACCCUGUAAAGACCAAAGGGAGCAGAGCGGACCCUUUGGAUUCAUAUUCCAGCUCUGUAUUUUCUAGCUUUGUCACCUGGGAGAAGUUGCUAAGCUCACAGCCCUUCCUUACCUGUGAAAAUGGACGUCAUUUACCUCCUAAGCCUGCUUCAGGGAUUCCUUCAUUAAUGUCAUCUCCAUCUCCUCCUCUCACGGAAAGGUAUUGUCUCAGCCCUGACCCUUACCCCAAGGCAUCUGGAGAGACUCAAUUCCAGGAGGUGUGGUAGGCAGGGUUAAGGUCAGAGAGGGGGAAGUUAGGAGAGGAGCUGAGUGGGAGUUGGCUUCCCAGACACACAUAUGUUCAGGCUCUAGUUUGAUGAAUAGGAGAAACCUAGGCUGACUAUUCUGUGUCAGGCAUGUGGCCUCUACUGUUAUAUUUAAAGCACUGAAAUUAUAAUCCUGCUGUCAUUCCUUUGAAGGCUCUUCAUCAGCCUGGGCAGAGUGUGUGGCUGGCAGGGAGCCAGCAUCAUCCCCUGACCUCCUCCUCCGAGUGACUCAGCACAAAUCAGACAUUUAAUAGCUUCUGAGUCUGAGUUUGAACUUGCCCCAAAUGCAAGCCUCCCUCCCUCUCUACACUUUCUCUUCAUUCCUCAUUCCUACUCUCCAUUUCCAAUUUAUCAGCUAGUAAAUUCUGAGUUGAACUUGGAGCCGUCGGUGAUUCAUUUAUUUUUUUGGCAAAAGUUCAAAUUCUUCCAAGAAAAGGAGGGGUGUGGUUCAAGGGGGAAAAAAAGCUUAGUUAAACAAAAGGUCUCCUGGAGAGUGUUCCAUAGCAUUGAGUAGCUCAGCUCAGUGAAGAGAGAACCCUUCCUUUUGAUGUAUUAGGAGUGCGUGAGGUUGAAACAGAGUUUGAAAUGAGUUGAGCAUCCAGUGAUGCCAACCGAGCCCAGAUGGGCUCCUGCCUUGCAAAUGUCAUGGGGUCACUGGGACACUGGAGACUUUCAAACCAGAAGAAGGGUUUCAUGGUAACAUGGUACCCACAUUCAUUUUCAUUAUUCUGGCUUGUAUAGUCACUGAACGAGUGAUCUCGUGUUCUUCAAGUAGUUGAAGACAUUUUGCUAUCAGGCCGAUGAGCCUCUGGAGAGCAUGAGAUCAUUCUAACAAUACCAACAAAGUUACGUAAGAAGGCACUGAAGCUCAGUGAUGGAGAAAUGUAAACUGAACCAAGUCUGAUAAUAACCAACAGCUUGAAAAAAACCCUCCUAAGUUUGAUAGUAUUGGAAUAUUAUGGAAUAUUAAGGAAGUAUUUUGGAAAAUGAGGAUAGUUGCUUAUGAUCACUGUAAGCAGUUAUGUAAGUGAUCCUAUCUGUCUAAGCUCCUUCUGUACACUGGCCCCCACAUUAAUCGAUUUGCCCCAUUCCAUGCUCAUAGGCAAUCCCUUCUCACAUGUACUAUGUACAUCAUUUUACAAAGACUCUUAUAAAAUGUGGAUUAUUAUUUUGUGGGGAUUCAUUUUAUUUCAUAAAGAAAUAAAGGCAUCAUAGUGUAUGUUUUACUUUUUAAAUUUGGCUCCAUAAUUCCAACAUUAUUUUACAAGUACACUUUUGCUUCAAACUUCUGUGUAGAACUCCAUCACACACAUCUGGUAAAAUUUCCCCAAUAACCCUCCAGUGAUAGGCUCUUACUCACCACCAACUUCUCACUCCUGCCCCAGAUAAAGACAAUGCAAACAAUACAACAACAAAAUUCAACAAAAUUCCCCCUAACACACACACACACACACACACACACACACACACACACACACACACACACACACUUAUAGACUUGGCACUACUAAAAACUACACCCACAUAUUCAUCAAGAUAGACAUAUAAGAUAUCACAAAACCACUGUAUAUUAAAAAAAUCUUGUGGGUCUCUGAAGUUUCAUGGAAGCCACAUUCCUAAAAUAGAUGACUGCAGAGAGGAGUGAGUACAAGGUUGAGAGUGUAUCCAGGAAUCACAUUCAAGAAUCCUGCUCAGGUCCUCCAUGUGCUAAUGUACUCUGCAUAGGCAGGUAAGUUCUUGUCCCUCUUUGUCAGAUAAUAUCAUUGGCAUCACAGUUCAUAUUCAUGAGUCAGAGUCCAAGGAGGAAACAAAUUUCAUAUUCAAAUUGAGUGAUUUGAAGAACAUCAAAAGAGUAGGGCUGUUUACAAAGAUUCAGUGAGGGUAAGGAAGGAGGUUGUACUGGUUAGUUUUUUCUCAACUUGACAAAAGCUAGGAUCAUCCAGGAAAACCAAACCUCAACCAAGGAAAUGUCUCCAUCAGAUUGGCUGGUAGGUGAGCCUAUGGAGAUUUCUUGAUUAGUGAUUAAUGUAGGAGAGCUCGGAUCACUGUACCUCUAGGUUUUAUAAGAAAUCAAGAGCAAAACUGAACACAGCAUGAAGUCAGUAAGCAGAUUCUUCCAUGGCCUCUGCUACAGUUCCUGCCUCCAGGUUCCUGCCUUGAGUUCCUACCCUGACCUCCUUCCAUGUGUGACCUUUAAGUUAGAAGGGGAAAUAAACUUUUUAUUUCCCAAGUUGCUUUUAAUCAUGAUAGUUUAUAUUAUAGCAAUAGAAACAAACUAAGAAACAGGUUGAUCAAAGCUCUGGCUUUCUGUCCCAGAAAUAGGGGACAUCAGUGGGAGAGCCAGGGAACCACAACCCUCCCUAGCUCUCUCCUCCAUCUCUUCUGCUGUCACAGGGCUGACUCCAGCAGAGGGCCAGAAGCAAAGGCACUGUGGCUCAUUUCCAUGAAGUACAGUGUGGACUUGGAGGUGAGGUGGAGCAAAUGGAAGAAUCCAAGGAACCUGUAGAACUCAGUGUGCUCCUAUUAAAAGAAUUAGGUGAAAACAUACAUAUAAUGUGAUUUGCAAAAUGAAUGUGUCUAGAAUGCAGGGACUGUGUUGCUAGCCAUAUCUCAGACAUGUCCAUAUUGGUUGGCAGGUAAAAGCAUCAAGUCUAUUUUCAGUUAUUGCAGAGGAUAAGGUCUCUCUGGUACACACCAACAACAAAACAAGACAGAAAAUGGACAGUAUAAGAAGUGACUAAACCACCAACCAAAGAGUACACACGGAGUGACCCAUGAUUCCAGCUGCAUAUAGCAGAGGAUGGCAUUGUCUGACAUCAAAAGGAGAAGAAACCCUUGGCCCUGUGAAGACUUGAUUCCCCAGUAUAGGGGAAUGCCAGGGAGCCUUUUUGUUCAAAAGACCAGGUAGUUGCAGUGUUCUUUGAACAGGGAACCAAGCCGCACCACUUGAGGGGGCAGAUGCAGAACUUUUGGAAUCCUUCAGAGUUCACACAGAGGGUGGAAGAACUAAGCUUCCUUCAGUGACUCAGUGGAUGGAGAUUAAUGCUCAAUUUCCUGUUCCCUGGCUUUCCUGGAGAAUGCGUCUUUCAGCAGACCUAUUGUCCACAUCUACCACUCUACAAAAUGUUCAUUGGCUAUCCCAAAGACAGUUAUGAGCCACAAGGGUUUUCCUGUGCCCUCUUCUCAGAUGUGUCAGCUGUGAAAACAUUGUGCCACCCUGAGUUCCAGUGUUGAAGAAAGAGCUUCCACCCUAUCAUUAUACCAAGCUAGCACCCUAUUAUCAGAGAAGGCAAUUUUAAUGCAAAAGAACAUGCUUUACCUUUUACCCCCAAACAAGUAAGCAAAGUAAAUAAAUAAAUAUGUGCUCAUUAGACUGAAGGGAAAAAUAAUCAUGAAAACCCAGGACUCAAGGAUGAAGAGAUGGCUCAGUGGCUAAUGGCUGUAGCUACAAUUGCAGAAGACAAGAGUUUGGUUCCCAGAGCCCAUGCCAGGCAGCUGUCUGUAAGUCUCAUUUCAGGAGCUCAAAUGUCCUCUUCUGGACUCUAUGCAUUAGCACCCACCUGCACACACACACACACACACACACACACACACACACACACACACACACAAAAUAAAAUUGAAAUUAAUAAAA